rnacentral:rRNA from 1 species
GACGAACGCUGGCGGCGUGCUUAACACAUGCAAGUCGAACGGAAAGGCCCUGCUUUUGUGGGGUGCUCGAGUGGCGAACGGGUGAGUAACACGUGAGUAACCUGCCCUUGACUUUGGGAUAACUUCAGGAAACUGGGGCUAAUACCGGAUAGGAGCUCCUGCUGCACGGUGGGGGUUGGAAAGUUUCGGCGGUUGGGGAUGGACUCGCGGCUUAUCAGCUUGUUGGUGGGGUAGUGGCUUACCAAGGCUUUGACGGGUAGCCGGCCUGAGAGGGUGACCGGCCACAUUGGGACUGAGAUAGGGCCCAGACUCCUACGGGACGCAGCGGUGGGGAAUAUUGCGCAGUGGGCGGAAGCCUGAUGCAGCAACGCCGCGUGCGGGAUGACGGCCUUCGGGUUGUAAACCGCUUUCGCCUGUGACGAAGCGUGAGUGACGGUAAUGGGUAAAGAAGCACCGGCUAACUACGUG